ensembl:lncRNA
UGAAUGUGAUUGUGUGUUUGUGUGUCUGUGUGUGUCAGCCCUGUGACAGACUGCUGACUUGCCCAUGGUGGACCCCGCCUCUCGCCCAGUGUCUGCUGGGAUUGGAUCCAGCACCGUGCGACCCUGGAUGUACCCGGAUAAGUGGAGGUUCCUGACAGUCGUCUACGGGAGCAGACCUUCCUUCACACACUGCUGCUCCUUGUCUUUGAGAAGAAGGAAUCACACAGAGAUCAGACGCACCAAUACACUAAAACUCAGCUACACUUUCUGAUGGAAAAAUCCAAAGUCUGCGAUGAUUUAUUAACUUUUUAUUAUUAUCUUAAAGUUACGCAUUUAUGGCACCUCUGAAACCUAGAUAACCUUUAGUCCUAGGAUAACCUUUGACCCUGGGGGGAUUUCCUGGGGAAUGCCUAGGGAUGCACUGAUGUCUUUAAAAUUGUAUACUAAAUCACACCUUCCUUAACUGUAGUUACUUCCUUAGUGUUUCCUACACUCGUCACACCUAUAAAAUGUAAAGAGUUGUUCCUUCCUUGCUGUUGGGUGCAAUGGUUAGCAUUAAAAGGACAUGUCUCUUCAUGUUUCAUUUAUUGUUGAGUUCAUCUAAGAAGAAUAGAUUUAAAAAGAAAACUUAUCCAACACUUUCCUAUUGAUUUACUCACAGCUACUGAGUAAGGAGAUGCAUUGUUAUUGCUUUAUUGUUUUAAUUAGUUGUAUAAUCUCAAUUAAUGAGGGGAGUGUUUGCUAUUACAGUCUAUUGUGAAAUGAUUCUUUCCAUGAAUGGGUUAUGAAUGCCACUACAGCAGAAUCCCAAAGGGAGGAUUAAUAACAAAGCACACUGGGCAGAAACAUUGUCCCUCAGAACUGCUUGUCUGACCGUUUGGGCUGGGUUAUUUUCAAAGUGCCUCAUACAUUAUGAUGUGAUGUCAUGUGACGCUGGAAAGCAAAAGUAUUUGUACUGGAUCUAAACAGCCAUACUGGAAGGCAAAGAAACAUAGGACAUUGUGGAGAGCACAGUAUCAGUUAAAGAAAUGACAACUGAUGUCAAAUAACAAAUAUCAGCUGAGGGAGCACUUCCAUAGAUGAGUGGUUCUGGCAGGUGCGCCAUGUGCAUGGGGAACAGUGUGUGAACGGUGGUUCGAAUCCAGCUGUCACCACAUGUUGUAGGUCUCACACACAGCUUGUCAGUUGUGCUAUGAAGUGGGUAUGAGACUUUCCAAUCUUGUAAAGAUGUGACAGGAGGGGGUACCUGAAAACCUCCAUGGAUGAAGUAGAAAGACAUGUUUCUGUAGCUGAUGUCAUCGUGGCUGAGAAUGUAAAAAAAUACAACAAAUGCAACAGGUUUUUCCCCCAGUUUUAUUUUUUUUUAAAUAGAAAACCGUGCCCAGCUGGACAGAGUUGAAAGAACAAAAAUUACAAAAAGUCAAAGAAAAUAAAAAAGGAAAACACUACGAUGACAGCACAGUCAAUCAUCCUGUUAGAUCAGUCUCAUGAAUCAGUCUAUUCUUGCAGCAUUAACCCCAUGGAGUGCUACAACAUACAGUACCUUCCUGCAGGCAACAGGCUGAUUCAGGCCUGCCAUGGGGACGUGUUCUCCUCUCAAACCUGUAACACAGGACCAGACAAUGUGGGUUUUCACAUUGCAGCUCAAUGAAGCCACACCUCUGUAGACUGGGACCAGCCACACAUUUUUACUUCAACAUAAAAGAAAGUAAUUCAUAGAAAAAAAAAGAAAAAAAUCAUUUUUUUAAAAAGACAGCAAUGUGUGAGGAGCUGCCCAACCAGAGCACUGCUCCCAUUUCAAUCCUCUGGAAUAAAGGCCAGACUGGUUCUCACUUCACUCUUCAGAAAGGCCUGGUUUAGCUAGAGCUUUUGUGUUGACUCUUUAUUAUACAGCCAGUUUCAUGUUUGUUCCUGCAAAACACCCACACACACACACACACACACACACAAACAUUCACACAGGCAACAUGACAACUUAAGCAGACUGUGCAAAACUCUUUGGUGCUAAUGAGUUUAAGAAAAGAAACAUGGAAAAAAAACAAAACAAAAAAAAAACAAACUAUCCCACAACUGACAUGGUUAUACAAUCUUUCCAAUAUACAUAUUUAAACAGUCAAGGUAGAAAAUGGAGCCUGCAAAUUCAAUAAAUUAGACAGUAAAAGAUGAAUUUCAGAUAUCAAAUCCAGCAGUUGGGUUCACAGAAAUUAAUAAAGAAAAAAAAUCCUGGAAAAACCGUAACAGUGUUAUAUUAUCAAAACCAUUAAAGCAAAUGGAAAAUGACCCCACUGUAAAUCAAAGAAAUCAAAUUAAAUGGUCCUUAGUAAUCCUCCCAAUAGGUGGAGUUGAAGUAUCCUCCCAAUAGGUGGAGUUGAAGUUUUCA